AGAAUUGGGAUUGCGAGGUUUAUUGGGGAAGUUGGAGUGGGGCUUUUGGGCUUGAGGAUUGUUUCUGGGUCCGUUUUGCACCAUUGAAGGCAUCAGUUUCUCUCCAACUCUGAGAAAAGGGAAAAAGAAAGCAGAGGUCGAGGGGGACAGAGAGACCCUUGCAGAUAUGUGCAGCAAAUUGCAGGAAUCGGAGAGUCCAGUUAAUGACGGUGACAGUUCACCCCGUGGCUC
rnacentral:misc_RNA from 1 species